CCGCGCCCCCCGCCCAGCCAGUGGCGCAGGCCCGCCAGUGCGGCGUCCGCGGCUUUGUCCUCUCGCGGAUGCCGGGGCCAAGCGCGAAAGCCCUGCGCCCGGAGUGGCCGCCGCAUAGCCAGGACACAGGUCUCGGCAGCGGGGUCUGAGGCGCACCCCGCGCCGAGCAGAACAGCCCGAGGGUCUAUGGGCGCGGGAGGCGUCUGCUUGGAGCUCCAGGGCGCUUGAGAGGGGGACUAGGCCUGUCCCGCCCAGCAUGUGCCCAUCCAGCGAAUCCAGCAGCACCGACCUCAGAGAUGCGGAAGGGCGGUCGGCGCCCGGCAGCGCAUCCAGCUCCUCCGGGCUCCUCACGGCUUCGGCUUCCAGGCGGAGGGCUCUCGACGCGGGGCGGCGGCGGCGGCGGCAGAGAAGGCUGAGACCGCUCCUCUUCGCUCCGGAGCCUCCCUCGGACUCAGCACCUGGAGCGGCGAACAGCUCCGCGCCUCAUUCCGCUGACCCCGCCUCCUCCGUGCCUCCGUAGCCAAUAGAGACCCGAGCCCCGCCCAGGGGUCGCCCAUUGUGGGGGCACAUCUCCCCUCCCUUCGGCCCCGCCCGCGGGUUCUUCUGUCUCUCUUGCUAGACCAAAUCCCCGAGAGCCCGCCGGUGUUUUCGUACAGCCUUCUGGAACUUGUAGUCCUUUAAGGACGCGGAGUGGGCUCAUGUCUCGGGCAGAUAAUGAGAGAUAGACUGCAUUUCCCAGGGUGCAUUGACAAAACAGAGGCGCUGAGGAGGGCGGGAGGACUGUUUCUAUAGCAAAGGCGACUGGUUGGGGACGGCUGACGGAGUAAUGGGGCAGGCCGCCGGACCCUCGAAGGAUUGUGCGUGACUUCGGGCAGCCUCCUUUGGGAGGCCGUUUCCAUUCUCUUUUCACCUCGGUCCCCACCCCGGGACUCUGGGCCUCAGUUUUCUUAUCUGGAAAGAAGGGCGUGGAGUCGUCUUCCCGCCCACACUCCGCGGUGUUAGGGCAAACCGAGGGCGAGCUGCCCAGCAAAGGUGAGAGAGGAUGGAGACCUUCGGCUUGAGAGUGGAAGGGGCGCAUUCUGAACUUUAUCCCUUUGUUUUUGCUUCUGUCUUGUCAUAGAGGAGCGCUUUGUUUUUGGUCAUUUUCCUUGGGCCAUCAAGGCCUUCUCAUCCCGGAUUCUGGCCUCCUUCACGCCACGCCCCGUACCGCAGCGUCUCCCACAGCGUAGCCAGAGGGCGCUUCUGCUUAAAACCCUUCACCAGUCUUCCCAUUGCCUCCGGAAUUAAACCCACAUUCCUCAGUGUCAAUCUAAAGGCCCUUCAGGAUCUGGACUCCACCUUCUUGCAACACUCUGAACUUCUCUGGAAGCUGGGAAGCCCUAAGCAAUUGUUUUCUCACGUGGGUCCCUCCACCCUGCACUCAGCUAAUGCCGCCCACUCUUCAAGCCCCAGCCUAGACGCUGCCUCCUCAGUGAAGCCUUCCCAGAUGCCCGGCUCCAUAUGAGGUGUUGACCUGGCAUGCAGUCCCUGUGGCUCCUGUGUGGCCCCAUUUCUGCCCUCUGAAGCAACAGAGUCCACGCACCAGAUGUUACAAAACCUCCCUACCUUGGCUGCCCAUCUCUGCAAAUAUGUGACCAGACUAGAGUGGUCAACCCCAGUUUAGAGCUGCCUUGAAUAUCUGCAUGCCAGUGUUUGGGUGCAGCACAAUGUCCAGUCAAUCCUCCCUAAUACCUUCAAGCCAGGUGGCUCCCCGAGUUGUGUAGAGAAGCCAGUAGGAAGAUGUGACUGGAACCCAACCCUGGGGGCCUGCAGGGAUCUGCCCACUGAUUCCACCUACCCAGAAUGCCUUGGGUGGCAGAGGGACACCACCGAACUUUGAGAAGCAGCUCUGAGUUUGUGAACAUUGGAUGCCGAUAAUUAUCCAGCUGGGCGCUGUGGGCGCGGUAGGCGGUAAAACCCUCCAACGUCGGUUUGGAAGCUCGAGGUUUCACACACAAAGGUAGGUGGAAGCGGGACCGAUCCGGGAGGCUGCGCUCCCCAGACAACGCGUAGAGCCGCCCGCGCCGGUGCCCGCUUCAGCUCACUAUCCUUGGGUGGGGGAGCGGGAAGAGGAUCUGGCACGAGGGGGACGAACCCACGUGCACCCAGGUCUUAGCUCCAUCUGGAGUUCUCUGCCCCUGCGCCCGCAGGCCCCGGGCGCCCCCUGGAGGCGGUGAGAGCCCCGAAUGCGCAGCACACGCCCGGGAGGGCGCUGGCUUGAACAACCUACCCAUCAACUAGAAAAGUACCCCCAUAAAAAUGGGCAAAGGACAGGAACAGAGGCAUUUGAGAUGAAACACAAACGCCCAAUAAGACAUUAAGCUGAUGUUUACAUAGACAGGAUCUGUUGCAAGCCCUUAUAUGCAUCAGCUCCUUUAGAUCUCUCAACAGAGCUACUAGGGAGUAUUCCCAUUCCACAGAUGAGUAAACUGAAGCACAGGAGACUAAGUGACUUGCUCAAGGUUAUACAGUAAGUGGCAGGGCCAGUAUCUGACCCCGCAGCCUGGCACCAGAGUCUUAGGGCCUUACUCACUGCACCAGACUGUUUCUCAACAUGUGGAAAAUAUACGCUCUGGCUAAAAACCAAAGUAUAAAUUAAAACAAUUCAUUCAGUAAAUUAAUUUGUCCUACAAGUAUUUAUUGGAUGCCCGUUGUGAGCCAGGCCCUAUUAUGGGUGCAGGGGAAUAGACACUAAAACACACAAAACAUUAAGCUUACAUUCCUGUGGGGAGAGAGACAGACAGUAAACAUGAGACAAUAUUCUAUGGCAGGUGGGCUAGUGCAUGGGGAAAAAUAGGGAAAGGGGGAGAGGGAGGGCUAUUUAAAUCAGGUGUCAGGUGGACCUCUUUGAGAAGGUGACACUUGAGCUGAGACCUAAAGAAAGGGAAGCCUCGUGAUUAUCAGUGAGAGGAGCAUUCCAGGCAGAGGGGAAGUCCCUGAGGCCGGUGCUGAAGGUGCUGUCCACGUGGACAGGAGGUGGUAGGCUCCUUCCUGGCCUCCCUGGUCCAUCGCCAGUGCCCAGGGCCAUACGAGGUGUUCAGGGAGGACUUGCCUGCUAACCAUUAAGUGAGGAUAGCACCUGUUUUUUGCCCUGGGCAUUUGCUUACUUCCCUGCAGCCGGUCCCAUGUGACGACUGUCCCCAUGAGUCUCAGCAGAGGGUGGGAUGAUCUGGAGAAGUGGAAGGGAAGCCCCCACUAAUAUUUAGGUGGAGAUAACUAACCCAGAUUCUGGCCCUCUGAGCUGGGAUGGCAGCAAAAGUCAGCCCUGUAAAAUGCAAUGAGAGAGGUUUGAUUACCAGGAGGGACCAUCUAACCCAUAUCCCAGACUGAGAGGUCAGCCCACACAGGGGCCUGAGGGAGUCGGGGAUGAGUGCGCUCUGCACAUACCGAUGGGCCCCAGCGGGAUCCUGGGUGCCCAGGCGUCUGUGGUCUCUCUGCUUCACUAGAUCUUGGUGGCACCUAGAAUUCAGAAGUGAACUUCCCUUCAGUGAGCUCCCUGUCUGUUGCCCUGGGGUAGAAGGGCCAGGCCAUGACUGUUAUCUGCAUGGCCUACUUUCCUCCAGAGACAGAAGCCCAGAGUAAGGUCAAAGGGAGACCAGGUGGCCCCGGAGGAGGCGAACCCAGUUCUUUCCCAGUGCCUGCCACUUUCCUUGCUGUGGCCGAAAGGCCAUUCCCUUCCCCGCUGGUGUGGCCUCAUCAUAUCCCUUUGAUUAGAUGAAUCACCUCUAAAAAUUGCUUAUGUUCCAUAUGGUGAACUGCUCUUUUGUUCAGUGCUGAAUACUUCUGUUGAUUCUUGUGUCCACCUGGGCUCUUUUGAGUCCUGCUUAGACCAGCUUAUGAAGGGGUUUUCAAGAUGAGCGCAAACUGGGCCAGAACUUGGCACAGAGGGCAGUCUCACCUUUCAUCAAACAAGGGAGAAGGAACCAUAUUUAAUAAACAUCAUCCAUUAGAUUAGAUCAACAGUCUCCGAACAUUGCAAUUCUUCCAGAAACAGUAUCUCUCUUGCCCUCACAGAAGAGCAUGUGGUCAAGAGGAAAUUGAAUAAAGUUCUUUAAUCAGCUACAGUAGUAUUUGAAUCAUUUAAUUUAAUGGAUCUGACAACCACAAUUUAUUUUUUAGGCCAAUUUUAGCCAACCAGGAGAGCUGGCCCAGUCUGACCCAUGCUUAAUAAAUCACCUCCUUGCCUGAUUGUAGAAAGUUUGGGGAAGAGAUUUUUCUGGGGCUUUUCAAACAUAAUCAAAACCAAUCUGCCAUGCUGUGUAUGCCAAGGCAGGAGUCCUUGGCCAUGCUGCCUUCACAUGGCCCUGUGGCUGUAGAGUGAGCCCUUGGGCUGGAGGGAGCUAAGGACACAAGGCAGGGAGCUGUCACCCCCGCAGCCUGUGCUUUUUAUUCCUGGCUGCAGGUUCGCAUGGCCAGGAAAACAAGUCAAAUCAAAUUAGAUGCCAGACACAUGCUGCUUAGUGCAUCUCACCCUCUACUGCCUCAGGCUCUUCAACACCUGCUGGAACCUCCUCAUUGGAAAAAAUGAAAGAGGAGCUUCUGAUUCAAAGUAACACCCACUGGACCCUCGAUGUGGCCUCUACCAGAGUCACGUUAAGUCACCUGUGAAGUCCCAGUAAGGGGUGAAAUGCAAGUUCCCUCCUUCAGAACCAGUCUGACGUCAGCUGCAUCUGAGCCCCUGGCAGACAUCUCCUCUGACCUGCCGGGCAGAUGUGGUUGGGCUGAGAAAAACCCAUGGGACUUCAUUCUGUUCCUACUGCAAGCAACAGCCACGUGAAAUCAAGGGGCUUGAUUUCAGGCCAGUCUUCCCAUUUUUCUCCAUCUAUUCCAAAGAAACAAUAUGGCAGGAAGGAGGCUAGGAGACCAAGGCAGGGCUGGUGGUCUUCUUGGGAGUAUGUAGCAUUCUUGGAGACAUAGUAGUGAUAAGUAAGUGGCAUUAAGAAAGGAGGAAUCUGGUGUGGGUCAGUGCAUGCAGGGAAUUGUAAGUUUUUCGUGAAAUCCAGUUUCUUAGAGUUUCUUAGUUGGGGAUGUAUUGAUGUCAGAAUAGAACCAUCAACAGCCAAGGUUACAAGGGGGAGUUGUGUCCCUGCAGGGAUCCAGGGAAAUCCUGAGCUGGAGCCAACCGUGAGAGCCCUCCAGGCCUCCUGGGAACUGUCCAGUCACAGGCAGCACCUCCAUGGUGCUGGACCUGGGGCUGCUCACCCAUUUUCUAGCUCUGGGCACCCCCUUCUCUGCAGAUGAACCCUUGGCUCCUGCUCCCCCCAAAACCUGAACUCACACAAGCAUGACUCUGGGUUCACUAAUUCUAGUCAUGACACUUGAUCCAGUAGCUUGAGAGCCACUAUUAACCAAGGAGACCCCCUUCUGGCUCCUUCUUGGGGGUCUCCAGGGGACAGAGUGGCUCAUGCACUCUUGUCAAGGUCCUGGGCAGCCAGGGCCACUGGCGUUUGUCAGGAAGCCCCCCCGCCCCAGAACCUCCUCGGAGGGCAUCUAAACAACAGCUGCCCAUACUUGAUAAUGGGGGUGGGGACAGAGAUUUGGGGGAGGGCUGGGGAAGCCCCUCCUCCCCUAUUGGCACCCCAACCAGGCCUGACUUUUCCAAUUAAACUUUGACUCUGCCACUUACUCCUGUGUACCCUUGAGCCCUGUUCAGAAUUUCUGAUCCUCAAAAGUAGAACAGGGCUAACAGGAGCCCUUCCCUUCCAGGGUUGCUGUGAAAAUUGAGAUAAGAGUUCGAGGGCAUAAACUAUUUCAGAAAUAAUAAAGAUAAUAGAUCUUUUUAACCUAGAUGCAACCAGAGAUCAUAGAAAAUGUAGAUGAGUGUAGACUGGAGAUACGAUCUUGUUCUAGAAAGAUGAAUAUGUUUUGAAUUGCCACAAGAAUGAAGUACAUUUCAUUAAAGAAAAAAGUAAGGUAAUUUAUGCACAGCCCUACAAACAUGACUCAUAAAAUAGAACUAACUAUAAAACAGUUUCUCUUUGUCUCCCUUUGUCCUUUAAAUGUACUUAUGGAGCUACCUUUUCCCUAUAGCCUCUGGAUGAAAUCUAAGCUAAAUCGCCUACUGACCCCUUCUUCACCCCUUGGCUGAUGUCUUUUUGUUCCUCCUGGAGGCUUUCUUGAUCAGGCUAUAAGACAACCCCAUGCUGGCUCUCUCGUGUCAGCAGCCACCUCUCAUCCUCUGGAAGUGUUCGCUCCUUUGCCCCCCUGAUCUCUGGGCAUGCAGGCAGAUCCCGACGCGGCUGCUCUCCUAGCUGUACUGCUAAGCCAUCUGGCCAGCCUGUCUCCUGCCAUCAGGAUUUCUCUGGCAUGAGUUGCCCCAGUUCACUGUGUCCCUGAAACUCCAAAGGACAUGUCUUGAGCUUUCUGCGUGGUCUCACAGAAGCUCCUUUCCCCAAGCUUGAGGUGAGGAGCAAGCAUCCUUCACUAUCCUCCUGGGAAGAGGAGAUUCACAGCACCAACUCUCUAGAUAUGCCCACAGAGCCCAGCACACUGCAAAUGCCCAGUAAAUGGCAGCCAUCCUGGGCUCCUGAUCCUGCCUCCCAGGGCUGAGGAAAGGGCUCUGUGGCCACUGGGCCUUGACUGCCCCUGACCUAAGCAGUUCUAAGCCCUAAGUCCCAAGGGCAAUCCCAGGUCCCUAAGUGACACAGUUAUUGAGAAGAGAAACUGGGAUUCCACUCCAAGCCAAAAUUGCCUUCCUGGUCUUUGCCAACUGUCUCCAGGGAAAAGAAUACUCCCCACCCCUACAUUAUGAGGGUAGGUGAGCAGGUGAGAAGAAAGGUGUCCCGGACAGCCACAGAAACAUGGUGGAUGUGGCAGUGUCCCAAGCAGGCACCAAACAACCCCCACAUUGGCUGCUCUGCUGGAUAUGCUGUCCUGUUAAGGACCUACUCAGGGAGCCCAAUGAGAGCUGAACUGUGAGGCCCCUUGCUCAGGGUGACCAAAGGGGUUUCAGGAGGUGCCAGGAUUGGAGGCAGAAUGAAAAACAUGCCCCAGGAAACAGAAGAUGAGAAAGCUGGGGAAAGGAAGGCAGUAGGUGUAGGAAGGAGGGAGGGAGGACCUGAGUCAGAGUUGUCUUGGGCACAAACCUAGGGUCUGAGGGUCAGCCCAGAAGCCCUGGGGCAGGGAUCUGGGUCCUGUUUUCAGAGUGGCCCCGGAGGAGACAAAUGGUCUGGAAGGCAGUGCCCUAAGAAUGUCCACACCAGCAAGCCUAUCUCAGAUGAUUAAGUGGCAGCAGAUAAAUUUAACUAAAUGUGAGUAAUGGGAACACAAAGGGGAAGUGAAGAGAAAUAGAAUAUUUUAGCAACAUAAGGAAAUGAGAAGAAAAUGACUUUGCAAUGAAAUGUCAAACUUCUGUGCCUGGAGGAGAUGUAAUCUGGUCAUUGCAGGCUUAGGGGAGCGGGGGAGUCUGUGGUUAUUUCAAGAAAAUUUUAAUUCACUUUAAUUUAAUAACAUAUGGCCAGAUUCUUUUGGGGCAAUGUCAGGAGACAGAACUGGGAGUCAGAGAGUGCCAGCUCUGCUAACUGGGGUGUUUUUGGUUGUUUUACAAGGAGAAGCUGUACUUAAAUUCAUUUCACCUAUCCAUCCAUUCAUUCAGGGAGUGAAUCUUAAAACCUGAGGAUUAAGAAGACAAAAGACACAGUCUUGCCUACUCCUGCCCUCAGGAGAUCCUGGUCAAUUGGGGUGACAGACAAGUGAACAGAAAGUUACAGGGUAGGGACACAUUCUGGACCUAAUACUUGAUGCUCAAUAGAAGUUUGUAGAAUGAAAGCAUGAUUGAAAGGUUGGUUCUGAAAAGGCACCAAAAAAGAGUGAAUAUCAAGGUGGGUCUUGAAAGAUGGGUUCCCCAGCUAGGCAUGUAAGUCAAGGGAAGUCCAGGUAGAAGGGACUGCGUGUGACCAGGUAGAAUGGACCACAUGUAGCAAAGCGGUGCUGAUUAUAAUCAUGGGGCUGGAGGAGAUUGCCCAGGGAGAGGGGACAGGGUGAGAAGAGGAGGAGGACAAAGAAGAGACACAGGAUCCAUGGACCCUGAUGAGAAAUAACACCCUGAGGAAGGCAUACACUGAAGACCUCCCAGUCCACUAUUACUAUCGCUGAAAUCUCUACUGCAGCCUACAGUGCCUAUUCAUCCUUGGAGCUUCAGAUCAGACAUCGCAUCCCCCAAGAAGUUUUUCUGGCUCAGGCUGGGGUGAGUCCCCCUUCCCCACGCAUGCUCCCAGCAUACCCUGUGCCACCAUCCUUGUCAUGGCCCACCCCAGCCCCAUGUUGGGUUCGUUUGUCUGUAUGCCUGCCCAUCUCCCAACUGAAGCUGCCAUGCCCAGCUCUGGUGGUGCCCCGACUACACUGGUGCCUCCCUGGAUCCUGGCCAGGCUGUCCUGUCUAUGGGAUCCCAUCCUAAGGAUGGACAAAGUCCAUCCGGAAAAGAGGUUCCAGAAGCUGAGGUCUGAAUUAAGGGCUGUUGGCUGGGUCGGAGGGUGGAGUCCGACCAAGGGAAGAGUGUUUUAGUUCAUAUCACAUCGAACUUUUGCACUUUUAGAGGGAUUCUGGAAGUGCCCUGGGUAAGAGCCCUUCUUAUUCCCAGAACUCUGGCUGGGAGGGGUGGGUGGUUAGGGUUAUUGGGCCUGGGCAGCAAAGCCAGAGAAACAUGGCCCCAGGGCAGAGAAGCUGGAAUGGUUGGACCGGCGGGACAGGGAGCGGGCUCGCUGAAGCCAAGGCUCAGGACGGGGCCUAGCAGAGAGGGGCCUGUACGAAAGCCGCCUCUUUGGACAGAGCUGCCUGCGGAACACGCCGCCCAAGGGGAAAAUGACAGAGCUGUAGGUGUCCUGAAUGUCCGCUAGGGGGAAACAGAGGCUAAGCCAGCUGGCGGGUAGCCAUGGUAACCGCAGAGCCAGCUGCUGCGUUAUCCCUAGACUCUGGCAGGGAGGUAAGGAGAACGCCCAAGCAGGGUGUUGCGAAUGCUCGCGGGUCUGUGGCCAUCAGCUCCAGGCAAGGACGAAGGACCCAGGUGACUUUCAUGUUUUCUCAUCUCCACCCAAGUCACACUUUUGCCGGUUGAGCCAGGCAUAGCAGUUGUGGAAGAAAAAUAAAAUGGGGUUUUGGAUCAGCCAAACCAGAUCCUUCAUUUUAAAGAUGAAAUAGAAACCCAGAGAGGGAAAGACACUUGCUGGAGACCACACAACAGCAGUCCUGUAAAUAGAGCUGAAGAGAAACUGGUGGAAAAAAGGAAGAAAAGUAUGCAAAUGACCAAAGACCAAUCUGGCAAUGUGCUCUAAUUUUUUUAUUACCAUUUUUUAAUUUAAAAUGUUUUAAACACACAUGUGUGUAUGCAUAUACAUAAUGCUGCAAUGUAACAAGAAUCUCUUUUAGCCGGUCACAUGCAUCUUUUCCUUCCUGUACCAUUUUCUUCCUUCUCCAAUUAGGGUCUUUUCCUUCUCUGGGCUUCUAUUGCUUCUAUAAAAUGAAGAAGCUGGCCUAGCUGAUCUCAAAGCCCAUCACUGUCUAUAAUAAAGCAAAGCCUUCAUUUCAUGAACUCAUCCCAGUUAACUGGGCACACGAAUAGGUAAGCACUUCUUGGAGUGAGAGACUGCUUGGCAGCCAGAUGUCUCUGUAACUGGGCCCCUGACAGGCUAGCCCAGGUCCGUUGGGUUCAUGUAUCUGGUUGCAAUGUUGGAGGACAUUAGCCAUGAACAAAAACUACCUCCACGAGAAUAUUUGAGAGUUAGUUAACUUGCAAGUUUAUUUUUAAAACUCAAAGACAUUAAGAAAUAGCCUCUAGACACUCAUGAUGGGGAAAAAACUCUCAAAUCCAAACACAGUUAAUUCAGUAAACAUCAUGUGAGAGUAAUCUUGUUUCAUUUCUAGUCCCUCAUUCUUUCUCUGCCCUCCUUCUCUAUCCUGUUCUUCGCUCAUUUUUUCUACUUUCUGAUCUCUAAGCAAAGCCCCUUGUUUGGCUGCAAGAACCCUCAGAUGCCAUUUGCAUCUUGGAAGGCCCAAUGGGAUAAAUCUCCCCACACAACCAACCAUAUCCCAAGGUCGUUGAACAUCCUGGUCUCAGGGGGUACAGAGGUAUCUGGGGAGAGCCUUCCCUGAGUAGACAUUUUUCAUGAUUCCAAACCCAUGAGGGGAGCCUGGGAUCAAACAGACUAGGCCACAGGGUCAGGGCAAAGAUGGGAUGCUAGGGUGCUCCUAGGGCCCAUCCCAUCAACUGACAAAUGAGGAGACUUAAUAAACAAGGAGGCAAGUGACUGGCCUGAGGAGAACCUGUCUGGGAGAGCCAGAUGGCUGAGCCAGGAGCCAAAGUGAGGUCUCCUGACCCCUGGCCCUUGUUACUUGCAGGGACUAUAUUGUCCCUGAGGUAACAUCACUUGAUUCUGGCCUGAGUCACCACAGCAGAGAUGAGCCAAGAGUCUGUGGGUCCCUUCAGCUUGGCUCGGGGUGGCUGGAGACCACCAGGGAGGUUUUGUGAGGCAAUCUGGAGCAGCAGGGGCUCAGAAAAUUUGAGCUGUAGGUGCUCAGUGAACUUUUGUUGAAUUUAAAACAGUUUUGGGGGCUUGUGGAGGCUUCAAGCUUGACUUGAGGGUGGGCUGGCAGGGUCAGUAAUGGUCAAGAAACUGACCAAGAUCAAACCUUGUCAGAUGUCACCAUGGGGUGUCUGUGACAAGGCCCCAGAUGCUCACAACUCACUAUGUGUGUCUGGGGGACUGAGUGUCCAGUUUUUCCCUUUUCUACCUUCCCUACCCUGUAUGUCUGAGGAAAGAACUUUCAUUAGAUUGCACCAGAGACUAACUGGUACAUCCAUACAAUAUAAUAGUACUCAGCAAUAAAAAGAAAUCAACUAUUGAUACACACAACGACUUAGAUGGACUUCAAGGGCAUUAUUCUGAGUGGAAAAAUAGGCCAGUCUCAAAAGGUCACAUACUGUAUUAUUCCAUUUAUAUAACAUUCUAGAAAUUACAAAAGUAUAGAGAUGGAGAACAGACCAGUGGUUGUCAUGGAUUAGAGAAGGGAGCGAGGCAGGUAUCACUAUGACAGCACAGGGAGUUCUUUUGUGGUGAUGGUAGCUUUGUGUCUUGAAUGUGGUGAUGGUUGUAUUAUUCUAUACAUAUGAUAAAGUGCCAUAGAAUUAUACACUUAGGACAUUAAAAAAUACAUGCAAAAUAGGUAAAAUCUAAGUAAGGUUUGUAGACUAGGUAAUUGUAUUGUGCCAAUAUCACUUCUCUGGUUUUGAUAAUGUGUUAUAGUUACAUAAAAUGCCAUUAUGGGGGCAGCUGGAUACUGGGUACGUGGAACCUCUCUGUACUACUUUUUGUACAUUCUUGUGAGUCUAUAAUUACCUCAAAAUAAGAAUUUUAAUAAAAACUGUACUAGUGAGUAGCUUUAUUCUGUUUUGAAUGUUUUGAGUUUGGAGGUGGUUAGUGUAAUGUAUCAUCUAGGACUCUAGUUACAAGAGUCAGAGAAGCCAUUUUAAACUGGCAUAGGACAAAAAGGACAUUAUUGGUGCAUGUGAUCAAACUAUGGAACAGCGGGGAUAGAGCUGCACACACAAGUCCAGCUAAUGUAGGAAUCACAUAGACAAAAUUCUCUUUCUUGUUUUCUCUCUCAUUCCCCUUUCCCAUCCCCUUCUCCAAUCCCCCAUCUCCCAUCCCUUCAUAGAAGAGGGAGAAGAACUUCUCCCAAAGAAAGGGGAUGCUGUUACUGAGAUAUGAGGGAAGGGAUGUUGGGCAGAGGGGGAGAAAAGAUGUCCAUUACAGCAUGUUAAAUGGGAUAACAUUUUAAAAAUUUAUUCAUUUAUUUAUUCAGGCUUCACCAGGCCUUAAUUGUGGCAUAUGGGCUUCUUAGUUGCAGACUCUUAGUUACGGCAUGCAUGCGGGAUCUAGUUCCCCCACCAGGGAUCGAACCCGGGCCCCCUGCAUUGGGAGUGCAGAGUCUUACCCACUGGACCACCAGGAGAGUCCCUAGCAUAUUAAUUAAUGAAAACAGCCCCUGAAUCUAUUAGAAAUAAGGAAACAACUUGGUGGUACAGUUCAAAGUGCCAGUGUGGUGGCCUGCAUGCACAGUGAUCAUCAGGUGAGUCUCAGUGCCAGCCAGGCUCUGGCCUGAAGACUAGUGGGUGGGUGGUCCACAGAGGGGCAUGAGCUCUGGGGAAAAACUGUGCUGAGCCUACAGUGUCAGAGGCAGGCAGAAGAACCCAUUGGAGGGCCCUUGGGACAGGAUCACCAGGAACUCAACUGUAACAUAGGAGGAUAUAUGCACAGGGUCAAGAGCAUGCCUGAGACAAGAGGUCACUUGAAUCCAGGAUCUGACACUUGGUAGCUGAGUGACCUUGGCAAGUUUCUUAAAUUCUCUGAACCUGUUUCCUCACAUGUAAAAUUGGGAUGAGAAUACUUCAUAGGUUGUUAAAUUCAGUUGAUAUAGUGUAUGUAAAGCACCUAGCCAGGUGAAAACUGCCAGGAUCUGAGUUAUUGUUAUGCCGAUAACUUUACAGCAGUAGAGGGUCGUAGUGGCAGGCAGGUGGCGCUCGAGCCCAGCGCUCUGCCGGAGGACGCCCUGGAAGCUGCAAAUUGAAGCAGGUGCUUUGGUCAUAUUUGAAGAGGAGGACCCGAGCGCUGAGACUCGCUUCCCCAGAGUCCCACUCGAAGCUUAGCCAAAGAUCUCUCAAUGGAGGGCUGAAGCUACGCAACCCCCACUCAGCGCCUCCGUCUUGUCCUCCUGGCUCGAGUGUGCCCAGAAGACAGGCGACCCGAGUUCCUUGUUGCUCCGGGAAUCGCUGGUUCUCUGGCUUAACAGGGUCGGAUUUGAGCGAGCUACUUUCGCCGGGUCCCGUCUCCCCUCACGAGGAGUUUUCGUGGAACCCAGCGGGUGGAACAUUUUAACGAACGUUUUAAAGUGACUGGAACUUGGAUAUUCUUGUGUUAUGGGAGAGGACCCAGCCAGAAACCUGGACCCAUGGCGGCCCGAGUGAGGAGUUGAAAGUCAAGUCCAAGUGGGCAUUAAAAGACAGAGCAGGUAACAUGGAAAACAUUUAGCCUUUGCCCUGCUAAAGACAAAGUUCUGCUGAGUCUCGCAUCUUCUGCUCCCCAAACAGAGGGGCAGCCUCCCGCCCACCAGCUUGCGGGGUGUGAAGAGGCUUUGGGGUACCACUAGGGUACCUGGAGGCCCCCGCUGAUCUCCCUGGCCCGGCCCGCGUGCCGGGAACCUGGACUGGACCUUCAAGUCUGUCUUUUCAGCAGUAGGACUGCGGGUGUGGAGCAGAUGCUGAGGCGGUUGUCAUGGAGACAGGAGGGCGCGGAGAAGAAUGUGGUUCUUGAUUGGCUGGGAGGCUUGUUAGGGCCAGCGGGCGCUGUGGUCAACCCGAAAGUGCAGACCUGCUUGAGGAAACUGGCCACUCGGAUGUCUGCGCUUUGCGGCCAGUCCACAACCGCCCCCUGACCUUCAGCAGCAGAGCCUGGCAGCGUAGGGCCGCGCUUCCCCUGAGAGGUGCCCCGACUCUUCCAUCCAGAGGGCUGACCUCCAGAUGAAGGAAGGGGACUGCGCCUGGGACCCAGGAACGGCGUCCAGAGCUGUGUGAGGCUGCUCUUGGACUCCCCGCGGACCAUCCCCCCAUUCCUCAGCGGGUUCGGCUUCCUCCCCAGGGCUCAGAGCCCGGUGGGACCUCCGGAGCGGCAGUCAGCUGACAGGCACCAGUUACGUCGCCCAUCUGUGGUGCACCCAGACCUUAGGUGAGCUGGUUCAGGAGGAGGGUUAGGGGUGGCUCUGGUUCGGUGCGGCAUUUCAGAACUGUGAGGAGGAGCCAGUGAUUCCUCCCAAGUGUGUUCAUCCUUCUGUUAAUCUGUCUAUGCAGAAAUCCAAGCCAACCACCAGAGCGGUGUGAAUCAAGGGGCUUUGCCCCCAAAAUCUCCAGUUGGUCCCUUCUCAGGUUUUAUAAAUGAUCCUUGAAAUGGACAAUUGGAAAUUUUAAAAUCUUAGGUUAAAAAUGAAUAAAUGUAUCUUUGCACCAUUUUGCUAUUCUACUGCUCUUGAGUGCUGAAGGCAUAUGCACACUCAGCUCCAGCCCAGCUCGGGUCUCCCUCCUAUUUCUCAGAGAUCCCUUCUGAGCCCUGGACCUUGUGAUGAGUGACAUCUCUAUACACACCUUAUUCUUUCAAAGGUAAUCUGUCUUUUCUCUCACUACUUUUAAGAUCUUCUUUGGUGUUUUUCGGUUUCACUAUGAUAUGUCUAAGCAUAUAUUUCUUUUUAUUUAUCUGGCUUGGGAUGUUGGUAUUCCAGAAUCUGUAGGUUUGUAUCUUUCAUCAGUUCAGAAAAUUCUCAUCCUUUAUCUUUUCAAAUAUUACCUCAGUCCCCUUCUUUUCUUCUUCUGGAACACAGUUAGAUAUAUUAUAACUCUCUGCUUUUUUCAUCUUUUCCUUCUCUUUGUCCUUUUGUGGAUAAUUUCCUGAGGUCUAGCUUCUGUUCACUGUUCACUGGUUUUCUCUCCAGCUAUGCCUAAUCUGCUGUUAACUCUGUGUGUGAAGUUUUAAAUUUAACUUACUGGGACUUCCCUGGUGGCGCAGUGGUUAAGAAUCCGCCUGCCAAUGCAAGGGACACAGGUUUGAGCCCUGGUCUGGGAGGAUCCCACAUGCCGCAUAGCAACUAAGCCCAUGCGUCACAACUACUGAGCCUGUGCUUUAGAGCCCGCAAGCCACAACUACUGAGACCGCAUGCCACAACUACUGAAGCCCGCACGCCUAGAGCCCGUGCUCUGCAACAAAAGAAGCCACUGCAAUGAGAUGCCCACGCACCGCAACGAAUAGCCCCUGCUCACCGCAACUAGAGAAAGCCCAUGAGCAGCAACGAAGACCCAAUGCAGCCAAAAAUUAAUUUAAAAAAUAAAUUUAACUUACUGUAGUUUUUCAUUUAUAAAAAUUCUACUUGAUUCUUAUUCAGUUCUGUUUCAUAAUAUUUUAACAAUCUUGAUCUCUACUCAUAUACUC